CUAUAGUGAGUUACAGACAGAGU
rnacentral:siRNA from 1 species